CGCAGGAAAUUUGAGAGGAGCUGUCCUUAGUACGAGAGGACCGGGAUGGACGCACCGCUGGUGUACCAGUUGUCUUGCCAAAGGCAUCGCUGGGUAGCUAUGUGCGGACGGGAUAAGUGCUGAAAGCAUCUAAGCAUGAAGCCCCCCUCAAGAUGAGAUUUCCCAUAGCGCAAGCUAGUAAGAUCCCUGAAAGAUGAUCAGGUAGAUAGGUUCGAGGUGGAAGCGUGGCGACACGUGGAGCUGACGAAUACUAAUCGAUCGA
rfam:Bacillus sp. FJAT-27231 Scaffold1, whole genome shotgun sequence.